GACGGAGGGUGCAAGCGUUGUCCGGAUUUACUGGGCGUAAAGAGCGCGCAGGCGGUCGUUCAAGUCGAGUGUGAAAGCCCCCGGCUCAACUGGGGAGGGUCACUCGAUACUGAUCGACUCGAAGGCAGGAGAGGGAAGUGGAAUUCCCGGUGUAGUGGUGAAAGUGCGUAGAUAUCGGGAGGAACACCAGUGGCGAAGGCGGGUCUCUGGGCAGUAACUGACGCUGAGGAGCGAAAGCGUGGGGAGCGAACAGG
rnacentral:rRNA from 1 species